UGUCCCAUGGCUUAGUUGGUCACGCUGCGUCCGAAAUUCGGAUACUAUGUCAACAUCGGACCAUCGAGAGUUCAAGUCUCUCUGGGACAG